rnacentral:rRNA from 1 species
GCUGACAGUGUACAAAAACACCAACAUCUUCAUGCAACAAAACAAAACAUUUGACAUGCCAAGUAGAUGCGAUCGAACAGCUGAUAAAUCACAACCAAGUACCGUAAGGGAACAACUAAAGCAGAAAACAGCAAAGAUUAACCCUUGUACCUUUUGCAUCAUGGUUUAGCAAGCAACAGGGACAAGAAGAAUCAAAGCCCCCAACCCCGAAACCAGACGAGCUACUUUAAAGCAGCCCAAAGGGCAAACCCUUCUCUGUGGCAAAAGAGUGGGAAGACUAUAAAGUAGUGGUGAAAUGCCUACCGAGCCUGGAGAUAGCUGGCUACCUAAUAAGGAAUGUAAGUUCAACCUCGGAGCGCCAAAUAAAACAAUUUAGACCCCGGGGGCAUUCAAUAGGGGUGCAGCCCUAUUGAAACAGGAUACAACCUGAAUCUGAGAGCACACAAACUUUAAUCCUAAUCUGUGGGCCUUAAAGCAGCCACCAAAAAAAAUAUCGUUAAAGAAUCAUAAACAAAAAUCCAACAGCUGACCAAAUUCUCCAAAAAAACUAAAGGUGACCCCACCCCCAGUGGGGGCUAUUAUGCUAAAACUAAUAAUAAGACAGCCUCUCUAAACGCACCCAUCCGCUAGAACAGAAAACCUACUAGCAAUUAACAGACCAAAAAAGGAAUAAGACCGCCCAAUACACACCUCAAUACAAACUGUGACCCCAACACAGGUGCGUCAAAAAGAAAGAUUAAAAAUUAUAAAAGGAACUCGGCAACCAAAGACCCCAACUGUUUAACAAAAACAUAACCUUUAGCAUAACCAAGUAUUAAAGGCAACGCCUGCCCAGUGAACAAUUAAACGGCCGCGGUACCCUAACCGUGCAAAGGUAGCGUAAUCAUUUGUCUAUUAAUUGUAGACCUGUAUGAAAGGCAAAAUGAGGGUCUAACUGUCUCUUAUAAUUAAUCAAUUAAACUGAUCUCCCAGUACAAAAGCUGGGAUAAUAACAUAAGACCAGAAGACCCUGUGAAGCUUAAACUAAACUAUCAAACCACAUGAUAGCUAGUUUCGGUUGGGGCGACCUUGGAAACAAGCAGAACUUCCAAAUAAAUAGCACUAAUAAACGCUAAAACUACAAGGCCAACAAGCCAACUAACGACCCAGCACCGCUGAUUAACGAAACAAGUUACUCCAGGGAUAACAGCGCCAUCUUCUUCAAGAGCCCAUAUCAAAAAGAAGGUUUACGACCUCGAUGUUGGAUCAGGACAUCCUAAUGGUGCAGCCGCUAUUAAGGGUUCGUUUGUUCAACGAUUAACAGUCCCACGUGAUCUGAGUUCAGACCGGAGCAAUCCAGGUCAGUUUCUAUCUAUGCCACUAGCCACACCUCGUACGAAAGGAUCGGUGUAGCAAAGCCAAUGCCACCGGUACGCUUUACACCACCGCAACCCCCAAUUAAGCCAAGACAAGGUCAAUUAAGGAAACAUAAACCUUAAUUAUAU